AGAGAUGGAUUGAUGGUCUUCAGUUCUCAUCAUUGUUUUGGCCACCUCCACAAGAUGCCCAACAACGAAAGGCGCAAAUUACUGCUUAUGUCGAGUACUUCGGGCAAUUUACAUCUGAACAAUUUCCUGAUGAUAUUGCUGAGCUGAUUCGUAAUCGUUAUCCAUCGACAGAAAAACGCCUUUUCGAUGAUGUUUUGGCUACAUUUGUUCUCCAUCAUCCGGAGCAUGGGCAUGCAGUUGUUCUUCCAAUUAUUUCAUGUUUAAUAGAUGGUACACUUGUGUACGAUAGGAGUAGUCCUCCUUUUGCUUCUUUCAUUUCCUUGGUAUGCC
rnacentral:misc_RNA from 1 species